ensembl:lncRNA
GGGGCAAAAUAGCGGCGGCUUCAGUCGGUGCCUACAGACUCCACGAGGCUGCGGUGGUCGCUGAUGCUUAAGGCAGAUUCUUAUCCACUGAGCCACCGGGGAAGCCCAGCACUUGGCACAUCUUAACUCUUCCCAGACUUACUUCACUUUGUACAACAGUCUCUAGGCUCAUUCACGUCUCUGCAAAUGGCACAGUUUGGUUCCUUUUUAUGGCUGUGUAAUAGUCCAUUAUAUAUAUGUGCCAUAUCUUCUUUAUCCAUUCUUCUGUCGAUGGAUGGCCUUCUCUGAUGGCUCAGUGGUAAAUAAUCCACCUGCCAGUGCAGGAGACAUGGAUCCAAUCCCUGAUCCAGAAAGAUCCCUUGGAGAAGGAAAUAGCAACUCACUCCCAUUCUUGCCUGGGAAAUCCCAUAGACAGAGGAGCCUGCUGGGCUACAGUCCAUGGGGUCUCGAAGUGUUGGACACGACUUAGUGGCUGAACACCACCACCAAUAAUUAG